rfam:Gossypium raimondii Chr07_contig_34, whole genome shotgun sequence.
CGUUAAAAAUUUCAUCCAUUUCUACUGUUAAAAACUGACAUGGUUGGUAGAAUAAUUAGAUUAUUAAAUGUGGCGUGCCACAUGCAUUUCAUGCUGAUGUACAGCGAUCAGCUUUUAAUAGUAAAAAAAUGGAUAGAAUUUGUUACA